rnacentral:rRNA from 1 species
CCUACGGGGGGCAGCAGUGAGGAAUAUUGGUCAAUGGGCGAGAGCCUGAACCAGCCAAGUCGCGUGAAGGAUGACUGUCUUAUGGAUUGUAAACUUCUUUUAUACGGGAAUAACAAGAGUCACGUGUGGCUCCCUGCAUGUACCGUAUGAAUAAGCAUCGGCUAACUCCGUGCCAGCAGCCGCGGUAAUACGGAGGAUGCGAGCGUUAUCCGGAUUUAUUGGGUUUAAAGGGUGCGUAGGCGGCCUGUUAAGUCAGCGGUGAAAUCUAGGAGCUUAACUCCUAAAUUGCCAUUGAUACUGGCGGGCUUGAGUGUAGAUGAGGUAGGCGGAAUGCGUGGUGUAGCGGUGGAAUGCAUAGAUAUCACGCAGAACUCCGAUUGCGAAGGCAGCUUACUAAGGUACAACUGACGCUGAAGCACGAAAGCGUGGGUAUCAAACAG